GGAGGUUAAGGGGUGAUAUGAUAGCCAUGUUCAAAUAUAUCAAAGGAUGUCACAUAGAGGAGGGAGAAAGGUUGUUUUCUGCUGCUCCAGAGAAGCGGACACGGAGCAAUGGAUCCAAACUACAAGAAAGAAGAUUCCACCUAAACAUUAGGAAGAACUUCCUGACAGUAAGAGCUGUUCGACAGUGGAAUUUGCUGCCAAGGAGUGUGGUGGAGUCUCCUUCUUUGGAGGUCUUUAAGCAGAGGCUUGACAACCAUAUGUCGGGAGUGCUCUGAUGGUGUUUC
rnacentral:lncRNA from 1 species